GCUCAGGAUGAACGCUGGCGGCGUGCUUAACACAUGCAAGUCGAACGAUGAUCCCAGCUUGCUGGGGGAUUAGUGGCGAACGGGUGAGUAACACGUGAGUAACCUGCCCUUAACUCUGGGAUAAGCCUGGGAAACUGGGUCUAAUACCGGAUAUGACUCCUCAUCGCAUGGUGGGGGGUGGAAAGCUUUAUUGUGGUUUUGGAUGGACUCGCGGCCUAUCAGCUUGUUGGUGAGGUAAUGGCUCACCAAGGCGACGACGGGUAGCCGGCCUGAGAGGGUGACCGGCCACACUGGGACUGAGACACGGCCCAGACUCCUACGGGAGGCAGCAGUGGGGAAUAUUGCACAAUGGGCGCAAGCCUGAUGCAGCGACGCCGCGUGAGGGAUGACGGCCUUCGGGUUGUAAACCUCUUUCAGUAGGGAAGAAGCGAAAGUGACGGUACCUGCAGAAGAAGCGCCGGCUAACUACGUGCC
rnacentral:rRNA from 1 species